CGGCAGGAAGCGGAGCCGUGGCCGAGGCCCGACGCCGUCUCCAUGGCGACCGGCGGCGCUCCGGAGCUGCGAGACUGCCGCCGGCCUCUGAAAUGUUUCCCUCCCUAUGCAAAAAUAGCUGUUAAAAAAUAUUGAAGGGAAGAAAAGCUCUAGACAACUUCUAUUUGUCCUAAAAUUCACUUGCAAUCAGCAAUGGUAUCAAGAAGGUCAAGACUUCGAGAUUGUUCUACACAUCAAACAAAAUCAAUUCAGAGCUGUGGUGGAGUAUCAGACAUAUAGACAGCUACAAAUCAAGCAGUACAGACAAUUUCUGUCUUAUAUCACCAUGCAAGAGAAACAGAGCUGAAAGUGUUCCCACAGGUCAACUAAGCUGCUGGAGGAGUGCUCUGAAAAGCUCAAUCUGAACAUGGCUGCACAAUGAGUGUUCUUGGCAGACGGCACUGAAGCACUAGAACCUAAAGACAUACCCCAUGAUGCCGACGUUUAUAUUUCAACUGGAGAGACCUUUUUAUAUCCAUUCAAAAAAAUAAAAGACCAUCUGUCAUUAAUGAAGAAAGUAUCAUCUUGAACAGUGAACGGCCUGGUUCUUCAUAAUGGUGUCAAGCAAAAGAAAACCAAGCCUGUCAUUUCCAACUGCAUGUAGAAAAUUAUUGAGGAGGACACCUCUGGCAGAAUUUUAGUGUUUAAGAACUGCACAGGGCAGGAUAACUAUGAGCCUAUUGGAUCACAAAAUCAAAUUGAAAAGGACUUCUGCAGCUCCCUGGACAGCACAAAGGUUUUGUUCCAUCAUUCAGUGAACCACAUAGAGAAGAUGACAUACACCAAAAAUAAACCAGUUAAAAUCAUCAAUUUUAGUCUGGAAUAGUUUCUAGAAUCUGAUUCACUGCACACUCACCUAAAUACUUUUGCCAGCACAAGAAAAAAUGUUGCAUGGGAGUGGAAAGAAACAAUUCCAUGAACAAUGAAUUUCUCCUGGUCAAAGUAUUGCCAUUUCUGUCACCAAAAAGUAACUUGUGUGCUAUCUAUCUUGGACUUUCUUCGAAAGAAUGACAGGUUUCAGGUGAUUGCACACUGAGGAUGAAUCUUACUUCUCCAGUGAAAUACUAAUACAAUGUAUGUGGAGAAAAAAUUGGCAAUAUCA